AAGUGAGUUACGAGGUUUUUGCUUUUAUCUACAUUGAGAUACGAGUUUUUAGUUGUUAUUCAAAUUGAGAUACGAGUUCUUACUUUCAACUCUGAAUGAGUUAAGAGGUUUUGGUUGAAUAAGUUACGAGGAUUUGAAUACACUAACUUCGGUACUGUUAGGCCGUGUGUGAGUUACAAGGAAAAGGAAUUACGUAUCUUAUGUUACGAGGUUUUGUCAGUGCAGCUUCAAAGGGGGUUAAAGUUACGAGGUUUAGUUUAAGGGUGUUUGUGUGGAUUUGUGAAAAACCGAGACAGGAGGCGUUCCAUGGAUUUAUCAGGUGGUGUCGUAGACCAUUAGCUACAAAAUUAU